rnacentral:misc_RNA from 1 species
CCUACGGGGGGCUGCAGUGGGGAAUUGUUCACAAUGGGCGCAAGCCUGAUGACGCAACGCCGCGUGGAGGAUGAAGGUCUUCGGAUUGUAAACUCCUGUUGCCCGGGACGAAAUGCUCCAACCUAAUACGUUGGAGUUUGACGGUACCGGGUGAGGAAGCCCCGGCUAACUCUGUGCCAGCAGCCGCGGUAAUACAGAGGGGGCAAGCGUUGUUCGGAAUUACUGGGCGUAAAGGGCGCGUAGGCGGCCUGCUAAGUCGAACGUGAAAUCCCUGGGCUCAACCCAGGAACUGCGUCCGAUACUGGUUGGCUUGAAUUCGGGAGAGGGAUGCGGAAUUCCAGGUGUAGCGGUGAAAUGCGUAGAUAUCUGGAGGAACACCGGUGGCGAAGGCGGCAUCCUGGACCGAGAUUGACGCUGAGGCGCGAAAGCCAGGGGAGCAAACGGGAUUAGAUACCCGAGUAGUC